UGAUUCUUCAUCUGAUUCUGAAGAAGUGCUAUAAAUACAUAUUAUGAAAAUAAAAAACAAUAGGGAUAUCAAUGUUGAAUAUGUGGGUUGCUUAAAAGUAAAGAACCACAUAUACUUUAGUAUGCCUGGUGGAUAAGUUAGCCGCCCUUUCCUCCCUCUUUUUACCCUAAAACACCAGAUACUUUGCUCAUGCUGUUCUGUCUGUUUACGGUGAGAAACUGAGGUUGGAAAAAGCAGUAGCUGAAUUAAUUGAUU
rnacentral:lncRNA from 1 species